rnacentral:lncRNA from 1 species
UCUCAUUUUUGAAUAAGCAGACUGAACUGAGAACCCAUUGUUGCAAAAUUAGAACUGUCAUAGAUCUUUUAAUAUUUGUCAGCUUUGAACUUUGUCAGUAUUUUUUUUCCCUUGGGUAGUAUUUUCAAAAUGUUUUUUUUUUUUUUUUUUUUUCAGUAUUUCUCAUCUUAACAACCUGAAUAUUAUCAGCUAAAAAUGUCUCACAAGAUGUUAUCUUCAAGAACAUUUAUGAAUGCCUUUGGAGUUGAUAUUUCUACUUUAUAGCAUUGGCAGCUCAGCUAAAUCAGUGGAGAGUGGUGAGAUGUUUUGGAAAACCUUGUAUAAUGCUCUUGAUGGCGUUUCAAGUUGCACUAAAAAGAAGAUGGAUAAAUAGAUAAGUAUGUGUGCACUAAAAGAAUAGUCACUUCAUUUUUUAUAAACUUUAAUCUUGGCUAGACAAUUUUAAAU